rnacentral:SRP_RNA from 1 species
GCCGGGCGUGGUGGCUCACGCCUGUAAUCCCAGCUACUCGGGAGGCUGAGGCAGGAGAAUCCCUUGAACCCGGGAGGCCGAGGUUGCAGUGAGCCGAGAUCAUGCACUGCACUCCAGCCUGGGCGACAGAGUGAGACUCCGUCUCAA